CUGCAGCUUGGAGGAGAGACUGUCAUGGUCAUCUGCAUCAGGAAGGACACAAAGGACCAAUCAGGGGACGUGCCAUACUAAGGAUGCGUGCCUUCCCAUUCUGACCAUGCCCUGUGGCUGCAUCAGAGAACUCACCCUCGGAGAGAACACACCUGGUCACACGGGGUAGAUGACCAGCACCCUGCUGCUUACUGUAGGCAGCUCAGAGAAGGCACACACAUGUCCUCACGCGUGUGUGUGGUGUGCACAUGUGUAAAUAUGAGAAGCCCAGGAUAAAGCAAAUUUUACUACA